CGACUUCAACUCACGUAACCGUCGUAAAAGCUUCUUCAAAUCUAUUUACGGAGGAACUGAAACGACUGGAGAGAAGAUUGACAGAUCUUGAAGAAGAAUCCGAAAUGUUUAAGGAAGCUCUCUCGGAGAGUGUGGAGGAAAGAUCUAAGCUAAUGAGUGAGAUAUACGAGUAUUUCAACUCUACACAAAAGCGUGACGUAAAGGUAUGUAUGUGCCAUAGCAGUUUAUGCAUCUUUUUUUUUUUUUUCUUCUUCUUUUUGGCUGAAGUGUUUUUUGAUUAAUGUUAUGCAGAAGAGAAGAGCUGGUUUAUUGCAGGUUCUAUUUCAGGAUACAAAUCCAUCCAUUGUUAGUAGUAAGGGUUUAAGAACUAAAGCAGUAGUACUAUGAUAAGACGUGCUUAUGGCUUUUGCGUGAGAAAUAUUAAUGGGCGGAACCACCAUCUCCAGCUUGGGCGGAGCCACCACCUCCGCCUGGAAUUCGAUAAAUCGUGGUGGUUCGUUAGGGGGCAGUAAAACCAUCUUCACCACCACCAACGAAAUUACAACUGCAAUUUCCACAAGACAGCCGGAGUAACGUCAUCAACAGUAAUUUUGCCACGGUCGGAAAGCUAUUAAAAGACUUUUGCUUAUUUAUACGCAAUGAAAUAUGAGGUUUUUUCGUUUUCAUGCUUUGUGAAUGACAUAACCCAUGAUUCUUGCCUGUGUAUUUUUUUUUUUUUUAAGUUUUUCCAUUGUGAGGUGAAAAAGAAAAAGUCAUAAGGGUUCGUCAACAGUCAACACCCAAAGAUUGGGAAAAUUACUAUUUU
rnacentral:lncRNA from 1 species